CUAAGAAAAUAGGGGACCUUCCGCUUUAGAUUAGGAGCGAGCAGCGCAUCUCUGGGGAAAAAACAUCAUAGAACAACAUCAGAAACCUUUGUCUUUUGAAGAUAAAAAAUGGGCAACCCUACUUCUUCUUCCUCAUUUUCUAACCUAAAACACACAAGAACAGACUCUUUCCUUCAACACCAAUCCUACUAGCCCGCCUCGCAAUUCUCAUUUGCACCUCACACACACUAAAAUCAUGGAAGAGAAAUCAUCCUCUGAGGAUUAAAAGAAGACAACUAGAGUAGUCAAGACCCGGAGAAAUCUUCAUUGAAGAAAGAAAAGCAAACUGUGUCCGAAUUUCGCUUGGAAGUGGAGUGAUUGAUCUUCAAUUUCUGGGCGUUUUAUGACCCAUUUGAUUUUCUGUAAAUUUGUGAGCUAAUCUCUGGGUUUCGGAGAGUGAUUAAACUCUUAAAUCACUAUCGAGUGUUGCUGAUUCACUAUGUUGCUGAACUCUAGAUUCAUAUUUAUCAUUGUUUCUCUAUAUUCCGCUACAUCAAGUAGUUGUUGUAUUUUAAGGAACUGAACUUAUUGGUCGCUCCUGAUGAAGAAUCUUUUGUGGCUCUAAUAAUUCUCUUUUUCUCAUUCGGGACUCUGUUGUUACCGAUGAGGUAUUCUCUCAGUUCAAUUCUUUCUGUCGGACGUGGAAAUGGGUAUUCAACCCUGGGAAUAUGAAGCCAUUGUUUCUUAGACUUGAGUCAUUGUUUGGAAUGCUAAUAAUCAUGUAGCCUUGAGAGUUGCUCAAGGGCGUAUAAUUUGUGAUGUCCAUUUCUUCUUGUUCUGAUAAGUGAUAACUUGAUUCUGUUUGAAGAUUUUAUUUCUUCUGCAAGUACAUAUUCUUAGAUGUAGAGAAAAAAGUUGAACUGUUAUUUGUAUUUUAUCAAGCUGAAAAGCUAGGGCAUGACCUUUUGCUGAUUUUUAAGGAAAGGUGAUUUACUCUA